AAAGGUUUGGUCCUAGCCUUGAAAUCAGUUCUUAGUUAUUUUACACAUGCAAGUCUCCGCACCCCUGUGAAAACGCCCUUAAACUCCUAGUAGGAGCUAGGAGCUGGUAUCAGGCACAUAUUAGCCCAAGACACCUAGCCUCGCCACACCCACAAGGGACCUCAGCAGUGAUUAACAUUGAUCAUAAGCGACAGCUUGACUCAGAUAAACUAUAUAGAGCCGGCCAAUUUGGUGCCAGCCGCCGCGGUUACACCAGAAGCUCAAACUGAUAUCUAUCGGCGUAAAGCGUGAUUAAAGUAAUCUACCCCUUGGAAUUAAACUAAUACUGAGCCGUGGCACGCCUGUACUCAAGAAACCCAUAAACGAAAGUUAUUCCAAUUAUACCCACUUGAACUCACGACAACUGAGACACAAACUGGGAUUAGAUACCCCACUAUGCUCAGUCGUAAACUUUAAACUACACCCUACUCGCCCGGGAACUACGAGCCAAGCUUAAAACCCAAAGGACUUGACGGUACCCCACAUCCACCUAGAGGAGCCUGUCCUAUAAUCGAUAAUCCACGUUUAACCUCACCAUUUUUAGCUUAUCAGCCUGUAUACCUCCGUCGUCAGCUUACCACGUGAGCGCCAGUGAGCUAAAUGUCCACCCGACAACACGUCAGGUCAAGGUGCAACUUAUAAAAUGGGAAGAGAUGGGCUACACUUUCUACCAUAGAACACACGAAAGACUAAUCAUGAAAUCUAGUUAGAAGGCGGAUUUAGUAGUAAAUAGGAACCAGAAAAUCCUCUUUAAUUCGGCACUGGGGUGUGUACACACCGCCCGUCACCCUCCUCUUUUGCCACAAUGCAGUUUUUAACAAAAUUCAGCUCUUUAGAAGAGGUAAGUCGUAACAUGGUAAGCAUACCGGAAGGUGUGCUUGGAAUCAA
rnacentral:ncRNA from 1 species